rnacentral:tRNA from 1 species
GCCUGGGUGGCUCAGUGGUUGAGCAUCUGACUUUGGCUCAGGUCAUGGUCCCAGGGUCCUGGGAUCGAGUCCCACAUCGGGCU